GUGCCAGCCGCUGCGGUAAUACGGAGGGUGCAAGCGUUAAUCCGGAAUUACUGGGCGUAAAGCGCACGCAGGCGGUUUGUUAAGUCAGAUGUGAAAUCCCCGGGCUCAACCUGGGAACUGCAUCUGAUACUGGCAAGCUUGAGUCUCGUAGAGGGGGGUAGAAUUCCAGGUGUAGCGGUGAAAUGCGUAGAGAUCUGGAGGAAUACCGGUGGCGAAGGCGGCCCCCUGGACGAAGACUGACGCUCAGGUGCGAAAGCGUGGGGAGCAAACAGGAUUAGAUACCCUGGUAGUCCACGCCGUAAACGAUGUCGACUUGGAGGUUGUGCCCUUGAGGCGUGGCUUCCGGAGCUAACGCGUUAAGUCGACCGCCUGGGGAGUACGGCCGCAAGGUUAAAACUCAAAUGAAUUGACGGGGCCCGCACAAGCGGUGGAGCAUGUGGUUUAAUUCGAUGCAACGCGAAGAACCUUACCUGGUCUUGACAUCCAACAGAACUUCCAAGAGAUGGAUUGGU
rnacentral:rRNA from 1 species